rnacentral:tRNA from 1 species
GGAGUGUAGGUUAGUGGUAGAAUGUGUACUUAGUGUGCUCAAGGUCCUGGGUUUGAUCCCCAGCACCA